CAAUAUGGCCGAAAUCUCAUGAUAUUCUUCAAGUGAGAGCACCUUUAUGUUGAUCAGGUUUUUGAAGUAGAGAGGAAGGCCAAGUCACUUGGCUGCAACACGUGAAAGGCUUGCCUGAAAACAUUUAUGCACUUACAUAUCAAAAUCGGAAAAGAUUAUCUUGGUUAGAAUCAUUGAUGGUGAAAUAUAGACAUUAAAAUGAUUAAGAAAAACUCAUUAAGUGAGAUUAAAGAAAAACUUGUUAAAAAAAAUAAAAAACAA
rnacentral:lncRNA from 1 species